AUGGUGAAGUUCACAGCGGAGGAGCUCCGUGGAAUUAUGGAUAAAAAGAAUAAUAUUCGUAACAUGUCUGUUAUUGCUCAUGUUGACCACGGCAAGUCUACGCUUACGGAUUCCCUUGUGGCAGCUGCUGGGAUUAUCGCCCAGGAAGUUGCUGGUGAUGUUCGCAUGACUGAUACCCGUGCAGAUGAGGCAGAACGUGGUAUUACAAUCAAAUCCACGGGUAUCUCUCUGUUCUAUCAGAUGACUCCUGAAUCACUUGAGAUGUACAAGGGCGACAGGGAUGGGGAUGAAUACCUGAUCAACCUUAUUGACUCACCUGGUCACGUUGACUUCUCUUCGGAAGUGACAGCUGCUCUUCGUAUCACUGAUGGUGCUUUGGUGGUGGUUGACUGUAUUGAGGGUGUCUGUGUGCAGACCGAAACUGUGCUGCGCCAAGCUCUUGGUGAGAGGAUUAGGCCUGUCCUCACCGUGAACAAGAUGGACAGAUGCUUCCUUGAGCUUCAAGUGGAAGGUGAGGAAGCAUACCAGACUUUCUCCCGUGUCAUUGAAAAUGCCAAUGUCAUCAUGGCAACAUAUGAAGAUGUGCUCCUUGGUGAUGUCCAAGUGUACCCGGAGAAGGGGACUGUUGCAUUCUCUGCUGGUUUGCAUGGGUGGGCUUUCACCCUUACAAACUUCGCUAAGAUGUAUGCCUCCAAGUUUGGAGUUGAUGAGGCGAAGAUGAUGGAGAGGCUUUGGGGUGAGAACUUCUUUGACCCAGCCACAAAGAAAUGGACCUCCAAGAACACUGGGACAGCUACCUGCAAGAGAGGUUUUGUUCAGUUCUGCUACGAGCCAAUCAAGCAAAUCAUCGCCACCUGCAUGAAUGAUCAGAAGGAUAAGUUGUGGCCUAUGUUGAAGAAGCUGGGUGUGACCAUGAAGAAUGAUGAGAAGGACUUGAUGGGCAAGGCUCUCAUGAAGCGUGUGAUGCAAACUUGGCUGCCUGCCAGUCGUGCUCUGCUUGAGAUGAUGAUAUUUCACCUUCCCUCUCCCUCAAAGGCACAGAGGUAUCGUGUGGAGAACUUGUACGAGGGUCCCCUUGAUGAUAUAUAUGCUAAUGCUAUCAGAAACUGUGACCCUGAUGGUCCUCUUAUGCUGUAUGUCUCCAAGAUGAUUCCAGCAUCUGACAAGGGUAGGUUCUUUGCCUUUGGACGUGUUUUUGCCGGGAGGAAGAAGGAUCUGUAUGUGAAGAGUGUCCAGCGUACUGUUAUCUGGAUGGGAAAGAAGCAAGAGUCUGUUGAGGAUGUUCCCUGUGGUAACACUGUUGCUUUGGUUGGUUUGGAUCAGUUCAUCACCAAGAAUGCAACCCUGACAAAUGAGAAGGAAGUUGAUGCCUGCCCAAUCAGGGCAAUGAAGUUCUCUGUGUCCCCUGUUGUGCGUGUUGCCGUUCAGUGCAAGGUGGCAUCUGAUCUUCCUAAGCUUGUUGAGGGUUUGAAGCGGCUGGCGAAGUCUGACCCUAUGGUUCUCUGUAGCAUUGAAGAGUCUGGUGAGCAUAUCAUUGCUGGAGCUGGAGAGCUUCACCUUGAAAUCUGUUUGAAGGAUCUGCAGGAGGACUUCAUGGGUGGUGCUGAAAUUAUUGUUUCCCCUCCCGUCGUCUCCUUCCGUGAGACUGUUCUUGAGAAGUCCUGUCGCACUGUCAUGAGCAAGUCCCCCAACAAGCAUAACCGUCUUUACAUGGAAGCUCGCCCAUUGGAGGAGGGAUUGGCUGAGGCUAUUGAUGAUGGCCGCAUUGGCCCGCGUGAUGAUCCUAAGGUUCGCUCCAAGAUCCUGUCUGAGGAGUUUGGGUGGGACAAGGAUCUCGCCAAGAAGAUUUGGUGCUUUGGACCUGAGACGACUGGCCCCAACAUGGUUGUUGACAUGUGUAAGGGAGUGCAGUAUCUGAAUGAAAUCAAGGACUCUGUUGUGGCUGGGUUCCAAUGGGCAUCGAAAGAAGGUGCUCUGGCUGAGGAGAACAUGCGUGGCAUUUGCUUUGAGGUCUGUGAUGUUGUUCUGCACACUGAUGCUAUUCACAGGGGUGGUGGUCAGGUCAUCCCAACAGCCAGGAGGGUCAUUUACGCUUCUCAGCUCACUGCCAAGCCAAGGCUGCUGGAGCCUGUGUACCUGGUUGAGAUCCAGGCCCCGGAGAAUGCACUUGGCGGUAUCUAUGGUGUUCUGAAUCAGAAGAGAGGGCACGUGUUUGAGGAGAUGCAGAGGCCUGGUACCCCGCUGUACAACAUCAAGGCUUACCUCCCGGUCAUCGAGUCGUUUGGGUUCUCAAGUACCCUCAGGGCGGCGACAUCUGGCCAGGCUUUCCCCCAGUGUGUGUUCGACCAUUGGGACAUCAUGUCUUCUGAUCCUUUGGAGGCCGGCUCCCAGUCCGCGACCCUUGUCACAGAGAUCCGCAAGCGCAAGGGUCUCAAGGAACAGAUGACCCCUCUAUCUGAUUUCGAGGACAAGCUCUAA
rnacentral:rRNA from 1 species